rfam:Schistosoma mansoni strain Puerto Rico chromosome 1, complete genome
AUCCAGCUGAUGAGUCCCAAAUGGGACGAAACGCGCAUUCUGAAU